UGGAUCGCGUAAGCUUUAAAAUUGGAUCGCGAUAAGUCUUUUUUUUAAAUUUUAAGCAAUUUAAUUUUUUUACAAAGCUUAUGUGGGUUACGAAAAAUGUAGGCCUAAAAAGUGAGUCGCGAAUCCAAAAAGGUUGAAUACCACCGUUCUAUGGCACCACGGGAGGGUCAGGCGAUCACGGCAGCCUAUCAGUCCGACGAUGACCAUUGUUGUAAUAAUGAAUAACUGUUGUAUUUUGUGCAUUAAUUGUAUAUAAUAAUUUAUUAUGUAAUUUGAAUCUCUUUCAAUAAACGAUGUUGCGUGGGGCCCAUGGGGGUAAGUAUUGUGCAAUCCCCCAUGCGACGUACUACAAGAAAAAAAAUAUAUUCUUAAAGAAAAAUUGUUAUCUGAAAGUUGGACAUGUGAAACAACCUUCAACAACGGUAUAUAAUUUAUUAAAAAAAGCGAUGACAAGUAAAUUGGCCAAGAUAUUUAGUAUAACAGGAAAAGGGAAUAUUAAUGCAUUUGGAAAAUAUAAAACAUCUCAAAUAAUACAAAAUGUAGUCAUGGUGCAUAACACAAUAAUAAAAAAUUACAAUCCCGCAGCUUUGGUAAGCUACUCGUACAGUCCGAUGGCCUUCGGGUCCUAGCUAAGUUGGUGCGGGUUACUUAGCUAGCCGGUAUUCCUGGCUAGCCAAUUAUUGCUCCCUGGCCUUCCUCUUCUCCUUUAGCUUCUGGAACUUUCUACGGAGCCGCGCUUGUUGUGCUACUAUUCUUACUUUCACGGCUGGUGUACCCUCUGACGCCUUGGUUAUCGUUUCCGGCUCCUCGGUUAUCUCGGCACUGGGUCCAUUUACUGUAGCUUUUCUUCUGGCUUAGAGAGCUGCUAAGCUGCAGCCGUUGUGUUUGUCGGCUGUCCACCACCCGGUUUGUCCAACCGCGGCGUUAUAUAGCAGCCCACACCGGGUCCUGCAGCAGUUCCAAAGUGGACUUUGAUUCACCUGAGCUGUUGUUCGCCGUUCCUCCUGGUCACUGGACACCAGUCGCAGCUGGGAGGUGUAGUCCGCCACAUCGGUGCACCAUUUUUCGGCCUCGUUGUUGCCGCUCAUUGUAUCUGGAAAGAACGAUCUUUCACAAUUUUCCGACAAGCCUACUGGACUAUUAUUACUGGAAGAUUGCUUCGGAACAUUUUCAGUAUCGCAUAAGCAACAAGAAAUCUGCACAAAUAUAUUGUAAUGUAAGCAAAUUGCACUAUAAAAAGUUGUCUUUAAGACAUAUGUAGUGAAAAGCAGAUGGCUGGAUGCAAAAGUAAUCGACAAGUAGUAGUGAGGGUACACUUACAUGAGAUAAAUAUCGGCCGGUUUUCCUAUUAAUAAUGUAUGACUUCAGAUACGGAAACGCCAAAAGGCUGGUUGCAAGCAUACGGUAAUGUAAGUAGUGAAUAUUGCGAAUUCGCGACGAAAAUAUUAAUAUUAAUAAAAUAAAAUAAUUACAAUUGUUUACUUAGUUAUUUAUAAAAUAUAAACACAAUACGUACGAU